CAAAUCAUUAACAUACAUCAGGUAUGCUCAGGACCAAACAUGUAGGGAACCAAAUCAAUAACAUACAUCAGGUAUACUCAGGAUCCAACAUAUAUAAUGUUGUAAGAGUUACAUAACCAAAAAAGGCUAUAAGAUGAUCAACACUUAAUUAUAUAGGCUUAGGGGGCUAACAAGUCAAAUUUGCAUAGUCAACAGAUGCGUUUCCAGGAUUUUGAAAAAGUGGGGCCCCAAACUAGGCAACAUUAGGAGUGGGACAUGUAAAAAGUCUCUGCAUUAACCAUAUAUCUAGCUCUAUAAGGGUCCCUCUAAAUCAGCCUCUAGUCAAUAUGGAGAUAAUUCUUGCUAUACUUUCACAUUUGCAUAAAUUAUAUGAACCUUAAGGAACAAACCAUAUUCAAUAAUUUUAUCUUUGAAAAAGUUAAAACAAUUCUAAAGAAUCUCAUUCCCAGAUGCUUUUAUUCUAACUACCUGUUUAUUGAAAGAUUUAUUUCAUAUAGAAAAUAGAUUAUGUUGCCUUAAGUUUUUGUCGAGCCUGCGACUUUUGUCGCAGAAAGCUCGACAUAGGGAUAGUGAUCCAGCGGCGGCGGCGUUAGCUAACUUCUUAAAAGCUUUAUAUUUUAGAAGCUAGAAGACCUGGAUGCUUCAUACUUUGUAUAUAGAUGCCUUAUGUUACGAAGUUUCCGUCUGUCAUAUGUCCAUUGUCCUUGACCUCAUUUUCAUGGUUCAGCGACUACUUGAAAAAAAAGUCAACAUUUUUUGUAAUGUUAAUUUCUUUCUUAUUAUGAGUAAUAGGAUAACUAUAUUUAGUAUGUGCAUACCUUGCAAGGUCCUCAUGCCUGUCAGACAAUUUUCAUUUGACCUCGACCUCAUUUCAUGGAUCAAUGAACAAGGUUAAGUUUUCGUGGUCAAGUCCAUAUAUCAGAUACUAUAAGCAGUAGGGCUACUAUAUUUGGUAUAUGGAAUGAUUGUAAGGUGUACAUGUCCAACUGGUAGGUGUCAUCUGACCUUGACCUCAUUUUCAUGGUUCAGUGGUCAAAGUUAAGUUUUUGAGUUUUGGUCUUUUUUUCUAAUACUAUAUGCAAUAGGUCAACUAUAUUUGGUGUAUGGAAAUAUUUUAUGAUGUACAUGUCAGUCUGGCAGGUUUUAUUUGACCUUGACCUCAUUUCCACGGUUCAUUUCUCAGUGUUAAGUUUUUGUGUUUUGGUCUGUUUUUCUUCAACUAUAAGCAAUAGAUCAACUAUAUUUGUUGUAUGGAAGGAUUGUAAGGUGUAUAUGUCUGUCUGGCAGGUAUCGUCUGUCCUUGACCUCAUUUUCAUGGUUCAUUGGUCAAAAUUUAGUUUUCUUGGUUAAGACUGUUUCUUAGAAACUAUAAGCAAUAGGUCAACUAUGUUUGGUUUAUUGAAUGAUUGUAAGGUGUACAUGUAUUUCUUGCUUGGUUUAUCUGACCUUGACCUCAUUUUCUUGGAUCAUGUUAAGUUUAUGUGUUACUUGUAGUAAAGCUUUAUAUUUAGGACUAUCAACAUAAAAUCAAUGGUUAGUAAAGAAGGCGAGACAUUUCAGUGUGUGCACUCUUGUUUUACAUGCAUAUAGCAUAUACAUAUGAAUUAUGGAAAAUAGUUCAAAUGAUUGGGUUAAAAUCUCAUAUAAAAAAAUAUGGAAUUUAUUUGUAGUUCUUAGAUUGUCCUGGGAUACAUUUUUUGUUUUAAUUAUUUACAGAUUUUAAUAUGAUUUAUGCGUUUUAAUGGUAGAUACAACAUGACACUUCUUUAGAUAUCAAUUGCGUAAAGUUUGAGCAUGAUUGCGUUAAGGUCAAAGGGAAACAAGUCACAAAUAUUGCCAAAAUAUGUUUCUUUGCACACUGUUUAAUGCAAAUUAGCAAUCUCUACCCCUCAGUGGCCACAAGCACUUUUAUUUUACCUUAAUUCUAAUAGAUACACCAAAGUUGUACAAAUGAAGACUUUUUUUAUAUCAUUUAUUCCUGUGUAUCAUAGCCACCGGAUAUUAGGUACCAACGAAGCAGAGAGAAAGGAGAAAAAAUAAUCAAGGUAAGAAUUCCUUUAAUUUAAACCAUUUCUACCCUUUUGAUGAGGUUACCGCUCAUGAAACGAUUUUCUGAUAUAAAAUGCUUUAAUUUUUUAUUCCAACAAGUAGCAAACAUAGACAAGAUUGUGUUUUGUACUCCAAAAAUGUGCACUUGGUACCAGAAAAUUUCGAGGUCGAUGACCCUCCGAUAUCCCACUGGCCAGAUAUUCAACUGUUUUUCAUUCUUUUUCCAGACAAAGUUUUAGAUUAGGAUAGUGUGACUUCAUAUUUACUGAAAUUUACUAUUAAAAAGAUGUUUUCUAAAGAAUAUAGGUAAAAACCAAUCAAGCCUAGGGUAAGGCAAUUUUGUUUUUUUCGUAAAUUGUUUUGUUAUAAAUUAGGCCGUUAGUUUUCUCAAUUGACUUGUUUCAUAUUUUUCAUGUUUGAAAAAGAAACGUGCUGCUAUAACUGUUAAUGCAAUUGCAAGUCUUAACCCCUCCACCCACACCUUUUAAUUUAGGCCAAACAGAAUUAACAACAGUGUUUUAUUUUUCUAUCUUGAAAAUUAAAAGUUGUAAAUUUUUUCUUUAAUCUGUGACUAUUUGUCUUUGGUUACCACACAUGUAUAGUCUGCCAUAAUAGUAGUUUGGGUGUUUUAUGUCCUUAAAAAAAAACUAAAUAUUCUAAGUCAUCGGUUCCUUUGCGGAAUUUCUUUUCUGAAUUAUAUUUUAGGCUCUGACCGUUAAUUUUUUUGAGGGGACAUGAUUCUUCUCUAGUGACAAUUAUUUUUUUCGAAAAAUUUAAAAAAAAUGCUGUUAUUCAAUAACAUAUAUACAAUAACUAGAAAAUUAUUUCGAAACCCAAUGUAUCAUUCAUUUCCCCCUAAUUUUCAAUGGAAACAAAGUAUUUUGUUCACUUUCCUUCUAAACAAGGAAUUACAAGUAGUUAAAUAAUCUAUUCAAGAGACAAUACAUUUAAAAAAAAAGCACCCCCCACAAAAGAUGAAGUUAAAAGUAUAACAAUAUAUGAAUAUAUUGAGAAGAAUUAGGUUAAAGAAACAAUUUUUUGUCUUUCAAAACGCAACGUCCAAUAAGGACACGAUAAUGACAUCUGAAUGAAACUAACGGCAUAUAUUUUAGAAUAUUGUUUGUUAUGUAGUUUGUUUUGGUUAUUUGUAAGCUGGUAACGCAUUGAAAUGUACACGAUAUCACCCUGGUUAUUACCUAUAUAGUUAUUAAUAUCAUCUUUACAUUACAGUAUAUUGCAAGACGCCAUAUAGAAAACAAUUUGUUGUUUUGCAAUUCGCCAUACAAUGCACUGCAAUUCUCCGUACAGUGAGCAAUAGCUGUUUAGGUUCAUAUUCUUUAUAAAACAUCUUUUUGUAAGCGAAUUUCAGUAAAUAUGAAGUCACACUACCAUAAUCUAAAAAUUUGUCUGGAAAGAAAAGGAAAAACAGUUGGAUAUCAGGCCAGCGGGACCUUGGAGGGUGAUCGACCUUGAAAUUUUCUGGUACCAAGUGAACAGUUUUGGAGUAUAACAAAAAAUGUUGUCUUUGUUUGCUACUUGUUGAUAUAAUAAAUUUAAGCACUAUAUAUCAGAAAAUCGUUUCAUAAGAGGUAAUCUCAUCAAAAGAUAGAAAUGGUUUAAACUAAAGGAAUUCUUACCUUGUCUAUUUUUCUCCUUUCUCUCCUGUUCGUUGGUACCCAAAUUCCGGUGGCGAUGCUACACAGUGGUAUAGUAUGUAUUUUUAUUUACUACAUGUAGUUGUGUUUAAUUUAUAGAUAUUUAUAACUUGAUUUCAUUGUUUGAUGGUUGUGAAGGAUGAGUGAUUAUUUUUUGUAAACAAUUAAUCCACAUUUGUAAUAAGAUUUUGUAGAUCUAUAUAUAACAUAUAAAUAUAAAUUUAUACUAUAUCUUAAAGUUUUGGUUGUUUAAGAUUUUGACAAUAUGUGUAAUGUUCAGUCACAGUUUUCUAUAAUUGUGUCAGUUUAGAGCUAAAUAUAUGGUAUAGACUUAUGUCUGGUUUAGAUGACAAUAUGUUUCUGUUUUGAUAAUUGUCUGGUUUGUUAUUCCAGAUUAAACAGGACUUUAAUUGUCAGAUUUAUGUAAGAUUUGCACAUGUUGUGCCAUUACUGAGUAUGCUUAGAUCAAUAUGCUAGACACUUUACACAAUUGAUGGAAUUGGUGAAAGAAAGGUACUGUUUGAUUUUUGAUUUGUCAUUUCAGAGUAUCCUGACUUUAACCGUCAGCUUUAAGGCAAUUUUUUACAUGUCAAAUUACUGCAAACUUUCCACUGUUUUUGGCAUUGGUGAUUACAGGUUGUGGGACUUUUUAACUCAUAUUUAAGGCACUACGAGGAUAUCCUAGUGCCAGUUCUUUUACAGAGCAAUUUUUCUAAUUUCUGAUGAGAUAACUUUUAAAUAUUCUAUUUUAUUCUGAUUAAAAUUUCCAUAUGCACAAGAAGUAAGAAGAUGAGUCUUAUAAGAGAGGGACAUAUACUGGUAACUCAAAUAUUAUAGUUCCAAGGUCCAGUUUCUUUAGGUACAUUUGGAAAUAAUUUUGCUCUUUUUUUCAUUCUGCUCUAAUGUCCUUUCCUUUUUAGCUCAACGGGGCCCAAAGGGCCCCAUGUGAGCUUAUGCUAUCACUUGGCAUCCGUCGUCUGUCGUUGUCUGUCGUCGUAAACUAUUUCAAAAAUCUUCUCCUCUGAAACUACUGGGCCAAAUACCUCCAAACUUUAACUAAAUGUUUCUUAGGGUAUCUAGUUUAUAAAUUGUAUCCGAAGUUUGUAUCCAUCGACAAACAUGGCCGCCAUGGCUAAAAAUAGAACAUAAGGGUCAAAUGCAGUUUUUGGCUUAUAUCUCAAAAACUAAAUCUUUUCGAGCAAAUGUGACAUGAGGUAAAAUUGUUUAAUUGGUCAAGAUCUAUCGGCCCUGAAAUUAUCAGACGAAUCGAACAACCCAUUGUUGGGUUGCUGCCACUGAAUUGGUAGUUUUAACAAAAUUUUGCAGUUUUUUGUUAUUAUUUUGAAUAUUAUUAUAGAUAUAUAUAAACUGUAAGCAGCAAUAAUGAUCAGCAAAGUAAGAUCUACAAAAAAGUUAAUAUGACCAAAAUUGUCAAUUGACCCCUUAAGGAGUUAUUGCCCUUAAAAGACAAUUUUACACAAUUUGUUCAUAAAGUUUACCAACAUUUAAAAAUCUUCUCUGAAAUACAGGUGAGCGAUUCAGGCUCUUGAGAGCCUCUUGUUUCCUUUCUCAAUAUGACGGCAAAAAUUUUGCGGCUGUAUAAUGGUAUGGCAAUGUCGUCCAAAGACAUUUGGUUUCCAGACAAUAGGACAAUAACUUGAGUAUAAGUGUAUAGAUCUCUAUGAAAUUUUACCGUAGUGUUCCAUACCUCAAAAGGAAGGUUGGGCUUGAUUUUGGGGGUUAUGGCCCAAACCCUUUAGGAAUUACAGACCAAAAAGGGGCCAAAAUCAAUACUUUUCUAAUACUUUGUAUAAAUUGCUUAUUUCUAGACAAUUUCAAUGUGGUUUAAUUCAAAGUCUUGAAUUCUUGGCAUUCUUCAGUAAGCUGAAUUAACCAUUUGUUUAGACUUUGGAUUUUGGGCCUGGUUUUUAAAUUGGUCCACAUUGAGGUACAAAGGGUCCAAAAUUAAACUUUUGUUUGAUUGCAUCAAAAGUUAAAUUAUUGGGGUUCUUUGAUAUGCUGGAUCUAACCAUUUGUUCAGAUUUUUGAUAUUGGACCAUAAUCGGUAAAUGUCCAAUUUCAAAUGUUUAGCUCACCGGGCCCAAAGGGCCCCAUGUGAGCUUAUGCCAUCACUUGGGGUUCGUCGUCUUCGUCGUCGUAAACUAUUUCAAGAAUCUUCUCCUCUGAAACUGCUGGGCCAAAUACCUUCAAAUUUUAACUGAAUGUUCCUUAGGGUAUCUAGUUUAUAAAUUGUAUCCGAAGUUUUAAUCCAUCAACAAACAUUGCCGCCAUGGCUAAAAAUAGAACAUAGGGGUCAAAUGCAUUUUUUGGCUUAUAUCUCAAAAACUAAAGCAUUUAGAGCAAAUCUGACAAGAGGUAAAAAUGUUCAAUAGGUCAAUUUCUAUCAGCCCUGAAAUUUUCAGAUGAACCGAACAACCCAUUGUUGGGUUGCUGCCACUAAAUUGGUAAUUUUAAGGAAAUUUUGCAGUUUUUGGUUAUUAUCUUGAAUAUUAUUGAAGAUAAAGAUUAACUGUAAACAGCAAAAAUGUUCAGCAAAGUAAGAUCUACAAAAAAGUUAAUAUGACCAAAAUUGUCAAUUGACCCCUUAAGGAGUUAUUGCCCUUUAAAGACAAUUUAACACAAUUUGUUCAUCAUGUUUGCUAACAUUUAAAAAUCUUCUCCUCUGAAACUACUGGGCCAAAUACUCCUAAACUUUAACUGAAUGUUCCUUAGGGUAACUGGUUUAUAAAUUGUAUCCGAAGUUUUGAUCCAUUAACAAACAUGGUCGCCAUGGCUAAAAAUAGAACAUAGGGGUCAAAUGCAGUUUUUGGCUUUUAUCUCAAAAACUACAGCAGUUAGAGCAAAAGUGAAAGGCAGUUAAAGUGAUAAAUGGGUCAUGAUCUAUCUGUUAUGAAAUUUUCAGACAAGUUCGACAACCCAUUGUUGGGUUACUGUUGGAAAUAGUUUAUUUUUAUUAAAUUUUACUGUUUUUGGUUAUUUUCUUUAAUAUUAUAAUAGAUAGAGAGAAAGUAUAAAUGGCAAUAAAUGUUCAGCUAAGUAAGAUCUACAAAUAAGUCAACAUGAUCAAAAUAGUCAAUUGACCCCUUAAGGAGUUAUUGCGCUUAAAACGUUUUUUUUUUACAUUUUUUGUGAAAGUCUAAUUACUUUUUCAAAAAUCUUCUUCUCUGAAACUACUUGGCCAAAUACUUAAAAACUUUAAUUGAAUGUUCCUUGGCUUAGGGUAUCUAGUUUAUAGAUUGUAUUGGGGGAUUUGAUCCAUUCAAAAACAUGGCGGCAGUUUCUAAAAAUAGAACAUAGGGGUAAAAUGAAGUUUUUGGCUUUCAUCUCAAAAACUAAAGUAGUAAGAGCAAAACUGACAUAGGUGACAGUGUUAAACAGGUUUUGAUCUACCUGUCCAGUAAUCUUCAGACCAAUAGGACAACUUAUUGUUUUGGGUUAUGUAUCAUCUUUAAUAUUAUUAUAGAAAGAGAGAAAGAGUAAAUGACAAAAUUGUUCAGCAAAGUAAGAUCUACAAAUAAGUCAAAAGCCUGAAACUGAAAUUACAGGUGAGCGAUAUCAGGCUCUCAUGAGCCUCUUGUUAAGUUCUUAGAUCACAUUCAUUCUGUGUCAGAAACCUAUGCUGUGUCAAAUAUUUAAUCACAAUCCAAAGUCAGAGCUGGCUGUAUCAAGCUUGAAUAUUGUGUCCAUACUUGCCCCAACUGUUAAGGGUUCGACCUCUGCGUUCGUAUCAAGCUGCACCCUGCGUAGCAUUUUAUUUCAUUAGAUUAUAAUGUACAUUACCAUCACUAAUAUGUUUCCUAUAUUUUUAAUUUAAAAAUAAUUAGUAAUAUUUUACAAAUUUAUGGUAAACAUAGGUAAAUGGGCAAUUUAAUUUCACCCAAACAAUCAGAAGACUAUACAGAGUUAUAAUUUAUUUGCUAGGAGGGAAAAUUUUGAUUUUUAGCAUUUGUAUGAGCUAAGUUAAUUUUUUUGUUUAGUAAUAUUUUUAAUUUUUUUAUGAGCAUACAAUUUCAAUUACAAUUUCUAUUCAACUUUAUUAGCCUAGAAAGUCAGCACUGUAUUAUUGUAGCAAGUAAAAAACUUGCCUGGGAUCCUGGCCAACUGCUUGACAGUAGAGCCAGGCGGAAUACAACAACAUGGUUCCGUCAAUUGGAUGUUAGAAUGAUGCAUCUUGGGAUAGCGUCAUUUCUUUACACAUGGCGGGAAAUAUUUAUAUUGCCACAAAUUUAUUGAAGACUAUUUUUGUUUUCAUAUGAAAUGCAAAUUUCGAAAACUUUAACAAAUAUAAUCCAAGCGUUGUUGAUUAACAUCGUGAAUCAACAGUUAAUUAACAAUCUGAUCGAUAUAUUCCUUGAUUAUAAAAUAUGCACAUGCGCAGUAAUUCAGUCCUGUUCAGCGCUGAUAGUUGGUCACGUGGAUUGUAUUAUGCCUGGUCCUAUCGACGAAGUAUUAGAUUGGGUCAGGAUGCCAGGCUAGUAAAAAACUCAAUUUAUUUUAUGUUAGAAAACAAUUAUACAAAGCGAAAUAAAUUACUUUAUCAUUGUAAAGAUUUUUGAACUUGUCUGAGACAUUCCCUACAUAAAUCUUUGAUAUAAAUUUGAUUACAAAAACUGGCAAGAAUAGAACAUGUGAGAGUUCUUCCAAGUUUGGAGGAAUGGAUGGAAGCCAGGUAUAUCUAUGUCCCCAUAUAUGCGUCACACAGGUGACAAAAAUAAGGAGAUUUGGUAGGAUUGCCAAUGAGGUAACCAUCAACCAGAGACCAAAGGAUGAUGAUGUAAUUGGUCACUGUAUAGCCUUUAACAAUGUGCAAAAUCCAUACCCUAUAGUAAGCUAUAAAACGCCCCAAUAUGACAAAAGGUGGGAAAAUUCAAAAGAGAAAACCAACAGCCUGAUUUAUGCUUAAGACAAACCAAAAACAAAUAUGGCAGACAGCAACAACAACAACCACUGAAUUACAGGUCACUGCCUUGGGACAGGCACACAACUAUUGUGGAAGGAUUAAAUAUGUUUGUGAGCACUCAACCUUCCCUUAACCUAGGAAAGUGGUGUAACAGCACAUUAAAGGAACAAACUGAUAAUAUCAGUUUUAAAAGUCCUGACUCAUCAGAUCAAAUUGACACAACAAAAAACAAGUAGAAAGAAAAACUAACACAAAGUGCUGAUCUAAGAGUACUUUCAGUUACUAAAAGCCAAUUUCAACUAAUAGAUUAACCUUGAUCCAUGAUUUACUUUUGUGACUAUUCCAAUCACAUUGUGGCAUAUUUUAAGAAAAAAGUGAAAUUUUUUAUUUUAUAGAUUAUUUCUCUUUUACACAAAUUAUUUUUUUUUCAUUUUUAUUUGUUUUUUAUUCUAUUUUUUUGCAAUCUUUCAUGGUGAAUAAUAAAUUAAUUAUUUGCAUUGAAGGUUGAUAGUAACUGAAAUUAUGAAAGUAUUUCAUUAUUGGUGAAGUUAAGACUGCUUUCUAGUCACUUUAUACCAUUAUGCAUGCCUUGAAUGAACCAGAUAUUAGGACUAUGGAACAAAUAUGUGUUUAAUAUGUGCAUAUUAUUUUAUCAAAAGCAGUAAAAUUCUUAAAAUUUGUAAUUUUUUAAACUUAAUUUUUCUUUCAGUACACAAUGUUUAUUAAGGUGUUUUGAUGUGAAGCAUAAGAAUAUUCUAUUUUGUAUCAUUGUUGACACAGAAAAACAGGACUUUAAGGCUCUCAAAUACAAAUGAUUGUAAAUUUUAAAUGAUAGAUAAUACAGAAUGAUUAAUGUCCAGGUUGUGAUGUUUCGAUAUUUUUAUACUAUUAAAUUGAAUUAUGAAAUCAGACAAAAA